UUGGAGGGCAAGUCUGGUGCCAGCAGCCGCGGUAAUUCCAGCUCCAAUAGCGUAUAUUAAAGUUGUUGCAGUUAAAAAGCUCGUAGUUGGAUUUCGGGAUCAGAUUGUCGGUCGUGCCUCGGUACGCACUGGCAUUAUUGGUUCCUACCUUCUGAAGAACCGCGAUGUCAUUAAUUUGGUGUCGUGGGGAAUCAGGACUGUUACUUUGAAAAAAUUAGAGUGUUUAAAGCAGGCGCACGCUUGAAUACAUUAGCAUGGAAUAAUGAAAUAGGACGUUUGAUUCUAUUUUGUUGGUUUCUAGGAUCGACGUAAUGAUUAAUAGGGAUAGUUGGGGGCAUUAGUAUUCAAUUGUCAGAGGCGAGAUUCUUGGAUUUAUUGAAGACUAACUACUGCGAAAGCAUUUGCCAAGGAUGUUUUCAUUAAUCAAGAACGAAAGUUAGGGGAUCGAAGACGAUCAGAUACCGUCGUAGUCUUAACCAUAAACUAUGCCGACUAGGGAUCGGAUGAUGUUAAUUUUAUAAUGACUCAUUCGGCGCCUUACGGGAAACCAAAGUGUUUGGGUUC
rnacentral:rRNA from 1 species